ensembl:lncRNA
AAGUCUACUGUCUCCAACUGAAGUCUACUGUCUACAACUGAAGUCUACUGUCUCCAACUGAAGUCUACUGUCUACAACUGAAGUCUACUGUCUCCAACUGAAGUCUACUGUCUCCACCUGAAAUCUACUGUCCACAACUGAAGUCUACUGUCUACAACUGAAGUCUACUGUCUACAACUGAAGUCUACUGUCUCCAACUGAAGUCUACUGUCUACAACUGAAGUCUACUGUCUCCACAACUGAAGUCUACUGUCUACAACUGAAGUCUACUGUCUACAACUGAAGUCUACUGUCUACAACUGAAGUCUACUGUCCACAACUGAAGUCUACUGUCUACAACUGAAGUCUACUGUCUACAACUGAAGUCUACUGUCUACAACUGAAGUCUACUGUCUCCAACUGAAGUCUACUGUCUACAACUGAAGUCUACUGUCCACAACUGAAGUCUACUGUCUCCAACUGAAGUCUACUGUCUCCAACUGAAGUCUACUGUCUACAACUGAAGGCUACUGUCUCCACAACUGAAGUCUACUGUCUACAACUGAAGUCUACUGUCUACAACUGAAGUCUACUGUCUACAACUGAUGUCUACUGCACACACUGAAGUCUACUGUCCACAACUGAAGUCUACUGUCUACAACUGAAGUCUACUGUCUACAGCUGAAGUCUACUGUCUCCACAACUGAAGUCUACUGUCUACAACUGAAGUCUGCUGUCUACAACUGAAUUCUUCUGUCCACCACUGUUUCGUUGAUUUCACAUUGAAUUCACAAUAGUUGACAACUGAAGCAAAUAUAUCAAAACGAGACAUUGAAAUUGCAUCUGUGCCCAGUGGGAUGUGUCUUUUAGCCAAACUUCCAAAAUCUUACGAGGGAUGGUCCAACAAUGGUCCACCACCCAAAACAGCUUUAAUUAGUUGGGACAUGGACUCUACAAGGUGUCGACUCAACAAGGUGUCGAAAGCGUUCCACAGGGAUGCUGGCUCAUGUUGACUCCAAUGUCAAAUUGGCUGGAUGUCCUUUGGGUGGUGGACCAUUCUUGACACACACAAGAAACUGAAAAACCCAGCAGCUUUGCAAUUCUUGACACAAACCGGUGCGCCUGGCACUUACUACCAUACCCCAUUCAAAGGCACUUAAAUAUGUUGUCUUGCCCAUUCACCCUCUGAAUGGCACACUGGAACGAAUUGCAAAAAUCUCUGAAGCUGGAGACUCACAUCUCCCUCAGUAGCUUUAAGCACCAGCUGUCAGAGCAGUUUACAGAUCACUGCACCUGUACAUAGCCCAUCUGUAAACAGCCCAUCUACCUACCUCAUCCCCAUACUGGUAUUUAUUUAUUUUGCUCCUUUGCACCCCAGUAUCUUUACCUGCACAUUCAUCUUCUGCCGAUCUACCAUUCCAGUGUUUAAUUGCUAUAUUGUAAUUACUUCGCCACCAUGGCCUAUUUAUUUCCUUAACUUACCUCAUUGCACUCACUGUAUAUAGACUUUUUGUUUUCUUUUGUUCUACUGUAUUAUUGACUAUGUUUUGUUUAUUCCAUGUGUAACUCUGUGUUGUUGUGUGUUCGAAUUGCUAUGCU